UACCUGGUUGAUCCUGCCAGUAGUCAUAUGCU
rnacentral:ncRNA from 87 species